rnacentral:misc_RNA from 1 species
GGAAUGCGAUAAGUAGUGUGAAUUGCAGAAUUCAGUGAAUCAUCGAAUCUUUGAACGCACAUUGCGCCCUUUGGUAUUCCUUAGGGCAUGCCUGUUCGAGCGUCAUCUAAACCUUCAAGCCCUGCUUGGUGUUGGGUGCCUGUCCCGCCUCCGCGCGCGGACUCACCUCAAAUCCAUUGGCGGCCCCCGCGUCGGCCACGAGCGCAGCAGAAACGCGAACUCGUGAGCCCGUCCGGGCGGCUCCCAGAAGCUACACCCACCCAGUUUGACCUCGGAUCAGGUAGGGAUACCCGCUGAACUUAGGC